rnacentral:rRNA from 1 species
UACGUAGGGUGCAAGCGUUAAUCGGAAUUACUGGGCGUAAAGCGUGCGCAGGCGGUUUUGUAAGUUUGUCGUGAAAGCCCCGGGCUCAACCUGGGAAUUGCGAUGAAGACUGCAAGGCUUGAAUCUGGCAGAGGGGGGUAGAAUUCCACGUGUAGCAGUGAAAUGCGUAGAGAUGUGGAGGAACACCGAUGGCGAAGUCAGCCCCCUGGGUCAAGAUUGACGCUCAUGCACGAAAGCGUGGGGAGCAAACAGG